rnacentral:lncRNA from 1 species
GAGAUAUAAGGAGGGGGAUAUCCGGAGUCGCCCCACAAUGCUCCCCCCGCGGGCUCCUCCGACCCGGAGCCCUCUUGGGGCGGAUCUGGGGGCGGAGGCGGGCCACGAUAGGCUUGAAGGGAGGGAUAUAGGGGCGGAACCUUCCGCGAGGGUGGGGCUGUCCUAGAGGCGGUGGCGGAAAGCAAGGAAGCAGGGGUUCGGCGAGGCCCUGCCCUACAGGGCUUGGCAGGAGGUGCAAAAAGACGGCAGGUCCACGUCAAUUGCAAGCCUCUCCUGUGUCGAGUGUGCUCUUUGUUCCUCAAUCUUAAUCUUAGGGCCCCUGAGCAGCGUCCUUCAUUGGAUCCCCCGUUCUCUGGCCCCACCUUGGGCGCCACUUGUCCCGGCCCGCGGUUCUGAGUGUGGAUACUGGAAAGGCUGGCCCUGCGUGUCCCCACCCUAAGGACAUGUAUCCUGGAUAGAAUAUAAGAUACAGAAAGAGAGCUGCUGUUAUCACUUGCUGCUUUCUGCUUUGCUGCCUGCCAUGAACUGUUUCUCCAAUGUGAUGCUCCUCUGCCACGCCACCCUAUUUGGAGCCAGAUGAUUAUGGACUGAAACCUCUGC